rnacentral:rRNA from 1 species
UACGGAGGGUGCAAGCGUUAUCCGGAUUUACUGGGUUUAAAGGGUGCGUAGGUGGAUAAUUAAGUCAGUGGUGAAAUCUUCAGGCUUAACCUGGAAACUGCCAUUGAUACUAUUUAUCUUGAAUACUUUGGAGGUAAGCGGAAUAUGUCAUGUAGCGGUGAAAUGCUUAGAUAUGACAUAGAACACCAAUUGCGAAGGCAGCUUACUACACAGUAAUUGACACUGAGGCACGAAAGCGUGGGGAGCGAACAGG